CCUACGGGACGCAGCAGUGAGGAAUAUUGGUCAAUGGGCGGGAGCCUGAACCAGCCAAGUCGCGUGAGGGAAGACGGUCCUAUGGAUUGUAAACCUCUUUAGGCGGGGAGCAAUGCCGGGCACGCGUGCCCGGAGGGAGAGUACCCGCAGAAUAAGCAUCGGCUAACUCCGUGCCAGCAGCCGCGGUAAUACGGAGGAUGCGAGCGUUAUCCUGAUGUAUUGGGUUUAAAGGGUGCGUAGGCGGAUUUUUAAGUCAGCGGUAAAAUGUCCGGGCUCAACCCGGGCCGGCCGUUGAAACUGGGGAUCUUGAGUGGGCGAGAAGUAUGAGGAAUGCGUGGUGUAGCGGUGAAAUGCAUAGCUAUCACGCAGAACUCCGAUUGCGAAGGCAGCAUACCGGCGCCCGACUGACGCUGAGGCACGAAAGCGUGGGGAUCGAACAGGAUUAGAUACCCGAGUAGUC
rnacentral:rRNA from 1 species